rnacentral:rRNA from 1 species
GACGAACGCUGGCGGCGUGCCUAAUACAUGCAAGUCGAGCGAAGUUUUUCUGGUGCUUGCACUAGAAAAACUUAGCGGCGAACGGGUGAGUAACACGUAAAGAACCUGCCUCAUAGACUGGGACAACUAUUGGAAACGAUAGCUAAUACCGGAUAACAGUAUUUCUCGCAUGAGAGAUAUUUAAAAGUUGGUUAUGCUAACACUAUGAGAUGGCUUUGCGGUGCAUUAGCUAGUUGGUGGGGUAAAGGCCCACCAAGGCGACGAUGCAUAGCCGACCUGAGAGGGUGAUCGGCCACACGGGAACGGAGACACGGCCCAGACUCCUACGGGAGGCAGCAGUAGGGAAUCUUCCGCAAUGGGCGAAAGCCUGACGGAGCAACGCCGCGUGAGUGAAGAAGGAUUUCGGUUCGUAAAGCUCUGUUGUUAGGGAAGAAUGGAUAUGCAGUAACUAUACAUGUAAGAGACGGUACCUAACCAGAAAGCCACGGCUAACUACGUG